rnacentral:rRNA from 1 species
AGCGAACGCUGGCGGCAGGCCUAACACAUGCCAGUCGAACGAACCUUUCGGGGUUAGUGGCGGACGGGUGAGUAACACGUGGGAACGUGCCUUUAGGUUCGGAAUAACUCAGGGAAACUUGUGCUAAUACCGAAUGUGCCCUUCGGGGGAAAGAUUUAUCGCCUUUAGAGCGGCCCGCGUCUGAAUAGCUAGUUGGUUGAGGUAAUGGCUCACCAAGGCGACGAUCAGUAGCUGGUCUGAGAGGAUGAUCAGCCACAUUGGGACUGAGACACGGCCCAAACUCCUACGGGAGGCAGCAGUGGGGAAUCUUGCGCAAUGGGCGAAAGCCUGACGCAGCCAUGCCGCGUGAAUGAUGAAGGUCUUAGGAUUGUAAAAUUCUUUCACCGGGGACGAUAAUGACGGUACCCGGAGAAGAAGCCCCGGCUAACUUCGUG